CCGCCCGUCACACCAUGAGAGUUGGUAAUACCAGAAGCACGUAUCUUAACCGCAAGGAGAGAGCGUACCAAGGUAGGAUUAGCGAUUAGGGUGAAGUCGUAACAAGGUAUCCGUACGGGAACGUGCGGAUGGAUCACCUCCUUUCUAUGGAGUUAAACAUAGUUAAAUAAAUAAGCUGAGUGAAAAUGAUUAACAGCUUAUGGCUUAUAUCUUGGUUCUAUCUAGUUUUCAGAGAUUGUCUCAGUCACACUGACUUGACGAUUUCUGAAAAGAAAUGAAAUCGUUCUUUGAAAACUGAAUAUUAGAUGAAUUAGACAAUUUUAUUUUUCUUACGUUUCAAUAUAAACGUAAUAGUAACUUAAUAAGUUUUACUAAGAAAACUAAAAUUUCAAUUUUAUAUAGAUUAUCUAUAUUUGCAAUAAGGUUUUUCUUUAAGAAAGUAUAGUAAGGGCAUAUGGUGAAUGCCUUGGAAAAUGGAGCCGAUGAAGGACGUGACUACCUGCGAAAAGCGACGGGGAACUGGAAGUAAGUUUUGAUCCGUCGAUGUCCGAAUGGGGAAACCCGUUAUGAUUAAUCUCAUAACAUCUUUAACUGAAUACAUAGGUUAACGAAGGGAACCUAGGGAACUGAAACAUCUUAGUACCUAGAGGAAAAGAAAACGAAUGUGAUUCUGUCAGUAGCGGCGAGCGAAAGCGGAAUAGGCCAAACCGGUCUUCGGGCCGGGGUUGUAGGACUCUUGUUAGAGUUACAAAGUUAGUGUAUAGCAGAAACUGUUGGGAAACAGUGGCAUAGAGUGUGAUACCCACGUAUGCGAAAUGCACUAACCUCGAGAGAGUAUCCUGAGUACGGCGGGGCACGUGAAACCCUGUCGGAAUCUACCCAGACCACUGGGUAAGCCUAAAUACUACCAUUUUACCGAUAGUGAACCA
rnacentral:sRNA from 1 species